AGUCCUGUAAUGGCUGCUUCCUGGAAGGUAGUGUCACGUGGAACCUCUUAAUCUCAGCAUCCGGAGCUCCAGGAAGGGAAAAUUUCAAGUCAGAUAGAAUUCUAUAUACACCAUUUCUUUGGAACCUUCAGCCCUCAAGAUUCCAACAUCAUGACCUCAGUUUCAACACAGUUGUCCUUAGUCCUCAUGUCACUGCUUUUGGUGCUGCCUGUUGUGGAAGCAGUAGAAGCCGGUGAUGCAGUCGCCCUCUUGUUAGGUGUGGUUCUCAGCAUUACAGGCAUUUGUGCUGCUCGGGAGUAUAUGCACGAAAAAGAAAUGGACAGAUGUGAGUGUGAAAGGCCUACUGAGUCAAACCUCACCCUGAAAACCUUUGUGCUAUAGAGGCUAAACCUGAGCUUUGGGGUCUGAAAGUUUCCAAGAAUCAGUAAAUAAGG
rnacentral:lncRNA from 1 species